UGGCAUGAUCGACAACACAUGUCGGAUAUGA
rnacentral:piRNA from 1 species